rnacentral:rRNA from 1 species
UACGUAGGGUGCAAGCGUUGUCCGGAAUUAUUGGGCGUAAAGAGCUCGUAGGUGGUUUGGUAAGUCGGAUGUGAAAUCUCCAGGCUCAACCUGGAGGGGUCAUUCGAUACUGCCAUGACUAGAGGUCGGUAGGGGAGUGUGGAAUUCCUGGUGGAGCGGUGAAAUGCGCAGAUAUCAGGAGGAACACCCGUAGCGAAGGCGGCACUCUGGGCCGAUUCUGACACUGAGGAGCGAAAGCGUGGGGAGCGAACAGG